rnacentral:lncRNA from 1 species
AGGGGCCGCAGAAAGUUGGGUAAACGAAUAUUUUUGAUAAUAAGGAGGGAUUAAGGAAAAGCCUAUUAAACAUCAAAUUAGAUUAUGAUUUCACAAAUUAAGCACCAAAACAUCAUGUUACACAACAAAUUUGACAGUAGAAGUAAUUAAAUAUGUAGUAAUGUUAUGUUGUAAUUACUGUAUUUACGAAUUUAGCACCAAAAUAUCACGAUAUAUUGAAAACAUUGACUUCAGAAAUGGCUUGGAUUAUCCAGAAGCUUGGAUAAGCGAGGUUUGGAUAAGUGAGACUCUACUGUAUGUGUGUGUGUGUAUGAUCUCAAAACCAUGUACUUCUGCUCAGGAGCCACUUUGCUUCUGCAUUAUACAACCCCCCUCCUUUAUAUAGCUGGUAAUUCUAGACCCAGGCUUCUCGGUCAUCAAUACCCAUAAGAAAAAGAGACCUUUUGCAAACUCAGCAAGAGGCGCUCUCCUGUCUCCUGGCAGCUCAGGCUAAAUUCUAUCGGCCUGAUUUCUAAAUGCAUGUUCUCAGAAUCCUGGGAACAACUAUUGAGGAAAGUCAAGGAAGACAGUGCAAAGGUUACAGCCGAACGUCAAAAAAAAGUAGGGAAAAAAAUGACACAGAUUCCUCAUAACUAUAAAGUAGACAGUGAAGACAUUAAAAUAGUUAAAGAUUUCCUAUACCUUGGCUAAAACUGGUCAGUAAUCAAAACUGAGACAGUAAUAUAGAAAUCAGGGUACAUCUACACUGUAUAAUUAAUGCAGUUUGGCACCACUUUAAUUGCCAUAGAUCUAUGCUAUGGAAUAAUGGGGACUGUAGUUAUCCUUCUCUGUUAGAUAGUGCUGGUGCCCCACCAAACUGCAAUUUUCAGAAUUCCAUAGCAUUGAGCCAUGACUGUUAAAGUGAUUUCAAACUACAUUCAUUCUACAGUGUACAGCCAAAUUAGGACUUGAAAGGACAGCCAUGAAGGAACUAGACAAGAUCCUCAAGCACAAAGAUAUAUCAAUUAAUAUCAAAGUCAGAAGUACCACAAUAUUUCCAUUUUAUAUGUAUGACUGUGAAAGCUGGACAGUAACGAAAGCUGAUAAGAAGGAAAUUAACUCAUUUUAUAGGUGAUACUGGAGCAGAAUUCUGUGGAUUCCAUAGACUUCUAAAAAGACAAAUAAAUGGGUCCUCGAGCAAAUCAAACCCAGAACUCUACCUGGAUGACUAAAUGGAGAGAUUGGAUGCAGGUUGCCAUGGAGACUGCCUCUCUUCCUUUGCAGCAGAUGCCCAUAGAAUAAGUAAGUGAUCAAUACCUGGAGAAAAGCUACAUUUUCCUGUUUGCUGGAAUAUUGUCCCUCCUCUGCCACAGCUGGAGCAAUGGCUCCCUUUACCAGAAAUGGUUGCUUUCUUAGACUGCAUGCAAACCCAGCAUUUACCAGCUUCAGUAGGAUAAUUGUCAAGGCACUGCAUCCCAUUUGCUCCACAACUUUUAUCUAUAAUCUCCUUUUGCUCCCAGGGAGAACCAGAACUGUGCUGUUCCAUAUGCUUUUCAAUGUUUGAAAUUGUUCUAUUUCAAAAUUGUAUUUUAGGACUAUUUUAAUAUGUCUUUACAAUUUCUUUUUAGAAAAGAAAUUAAUGUGCUUCAUUUGUGUGUUUAUAUUGUGUUGAUUACUUUGAUUUGUUCAUUGCCUCAGGAGCCCUCGUUGGCUGGGAGGCCAUAUAGAAAUGUCUUUGGAAAAAAUAAAUAAAUAAAUACUAUCAUGCAUCUGGGAUGCAUCAUUCACGCCUGCAGAGCGCCAUUAGAUGUGGAAUUUACAGGAGAUAAAUCUGUCUGUGUGAACCUGAACUAUUUCUCUGUCUUUGAAGAAGACAUAAAGGUUUUCACAAAGCUCUAGAUUCUCUUCUUUUGAUUCCCUUUCCUCCAUGUAUUUAACUCUGUCCCAUUUUCCUGCAGAAGAAACACAUCAUUUGAUUUGGAGAUCUUAACGGUAUUGCUGAAUUAAGUAUUCAAUCAGUUUCCCAUCUCCCGGUAAGCCUGUCAAAUUGAUCCAAGUUCAGAAGUGUGCUGGAUACCUUUUCUGGAAAUAAUCUCUUAGGACACUGACAGGUCAGUUUGCUGAUUUGCUAUUAAUGAGAAAAGUUUGUUGCUCAUUAAUUAAAAAAAAUGCAGAUCCUUGCCAGGCAGACGUUUUCCAUGCACGUAGCUCUUUCAAGGCUGCCCCUUCUGUUCUCAAGGCUUGGCAGAAUCCAACAUUAAGCAAACCCUUGAACCAUGUGAACCCUGAUUUGGAAAAUUAGAAACUGGAAGGACAAAUGGGCAGUCAUGUGGCUCAUUAGUCGAUGCUUCCAACUUAGAAAUGUUUUUGUUGCUCAAAAUGCUGGUGAUGAUCUAUAAAACCCUAAGCAUUUUGGGUCCAGGCUGUUUGAAGGACCAUGUCUCCCUGUAAGACUCUCAGAUCAUCUAGUGAAGCCCUUCUCUAUAUAUUCUCACUGCCUUCCUGGGUUCAUUUGAUGGGAACAAACAAGAGGGCUCUUUCAAUGGCUGCUCCCAUGUUUUGGAACUCCUUCCCUUUGAGAUGCUAGGAUGGCUCCUUCUUUUCUCUCUUUCCAUCAACAACUGAGGACUUUACCGUGCCACUAGGCUUAUAGAAAUCUAAUGUGGCAGGCUUCUAGUUAUGUGCUGUGCAGUUUUGUUGUUUGUAUAAUCCCUUAAUAGUGUUCUGUGUUUUAACUUUAUGAAUAUUUUGCUCUUUAGCUUUUAUAUCAAUAUUAUUUAUCAAUAUUUUUGCAGUUUUUAAAUAAGUUUCAUUGUAAAAUGUUGUGAUGCUACCUUAUUGGAAGAAAGGUGGGAUGCUGCUGCUGAUGACAACAAUAAUUGUUUUAACAAGAACAGUUUUGCUGCAUGGCAGAAUCUGAUCUUUCAAAAAAGUCAGGAGACAAAAACAAAGGGGUUAAAAUGGUAAUAAUCCCAACCAAAAACAAGAUGUACAGAUCGGAAUAACAAGGGCAUUCAAUGAUCAGUACCCUGGAUAGUUCACAAGUACAUCUUCCAGUUGUCUGAAAUGCUCCCUAUUGUGUGUGUAGUGAAGAUAGAACCAGAAAUCUCAAUACUUGCUUGAGGUCAUUCUGACGUGACCACAUGCUUGCUGGAAAGCACUUAAGCCUGCCCUAUAUCCCGUAAAUGCUUAAACCUGAUCUAAACCUGGUGAGCUCUUAAGUUUGCUCUAAACCUGAUGAGUGCUUAAAAGGGAGAAUACUUAGGUACCAGCUAGAAUUUCAUCAUGGAACAAAAGAAAGCCAGAGAUGCCAUGUCUUAUAUAUAGACAGUAAAAGCCAUGGGCUUUAACCUCUAGAGCACAACCUGCAUCCCUCUGGGCUAGUCUUCUGGGAUUUGGAGACUCAAACGCCUGGAGGGUCGCAGGUUGUGCGGGGCUGCUCUAGAAAGUAUUUUCCUAGAAUCCCCAGAAAAUCUAAAUAACCUUUUCUGGGAAAGAGCUGAAAAUUCACCUGCAAACAUGGAAGCAGAAACAUCCAGAGAUGAAUAUCUUUGGGACAUCUCCUCCUCGGCCUAGGCUUUGCCUUGCCUUCAAGAGUUUCAUGAAAGUCAGGGACUGAAGGCAGGCAGGAAGAAGGGGGAAAGUCCACACUUGCCUAAUUGCCCACGCUCUCACGACAAUUACAAAACGUACUUCAUAAUUACCAGAUUUGCCCUAGCUUGGGGGACAACAAAUAUUUUUUCCACAAGAUAUAGCAAGAAGUAUUUGCCUUAAUUAUUCCCCAUUUUAAAAGCGGUGGAGGGGGUGGAGGAAUGUGCCCAAACAAGCCAGAAGGCAGAAGCAGCAGUACGCUCCUCUCCUGCCUGGGUUCACCCCCUUGAUUGGAUCUUUGUGAUCACUAGACUUGUGUCUUCCUGUCCAUGAUGCUGCUCCAGGACAGAAAGGGACCCUUGUCUUUGAUGGAGGGAAGGAGAGAAAGAGAAAAUUAAAUUCCAGCCAUACCCUUUAAUCAUCAUCCUAACCACACACAGCCUCCCCUAUCCUAUAAAGUCAUCAAGCCAGGGCACAGUUUGAAUGCCAGAACCAGCCAAAGGCCUCUUGGGGAAAAAUGUGGGCACUGAGGUUGUUUUUAUUGCUCAAGAGUGUUGGUCCCAUUAAAAACAGUUGGGUUUGUUGUAACUUGUAGUGCUUCUGAAUAGUAUGGUGGGAGGAUAUACUGAUCCCCAGGAGUAUAUUAAUGCCUGCAGGCCCUUGGUGCAAUUAAGAACGUAAGGCAGAUUGUUGCACAAAAGUCACAUGCUGACAACAUUAGUUUGGCUUUACUUUACUAUGCAAUUAUAACACUUCGUUACAAAGUUGGCAUGGGGUAGUGCUUUGAGUGUUCAGCUAUGUCGCUUCUGUUUUUAAAAUGCCACUUUGAGUCUCCUUGUGGAGAAAAAGUGAGAUAUAAACAUAAUAAUAAAAUAAUAAUAAUAAUACUAUGUAAGCACUCUUUCCAUAGUAUCUGUAUCCUUGUGAACAGGUGGGAAACUAGUAAUUCUGCUGAAGCAAUCAUAUAACAAAAAUAAUCAAAAUCUUAGAGUUGGAAGGAACUCCAAGGACUCUGCUAUGCAGAAAAACACAACUAAAGCUCCUCUGUAAGACAUUUAUCCAACCUCUGUUUAAAGACUUCCAGUGGUGAAGUGUCCACCACUCUGUACCACUUCCAUUCCACUCUUAAAAUAGCUCUUGCGAACAUUAUUUCCCUAUAUAGAAUACUAUAUAUAUAUAUAUAUAUAUAUAGAGAGAGAGAGAGAGAGAGAGAGAGAGAGAGAGAGAGAGAGAGAGAGAAUAUAACUAACUUUAGCCAGAAUCACUUUGCUUGUAAUUUUAAGAAGCCAUUGGGUCAUGUUCUAGUCUCUGGAGCAACAGGAAAGUAGCUUGUUCUAUUUUCUCCAUGACAUAAAUGUAAAAAUAGUUAUCAUAUCCCUGCCUAGUCAUAUCUUCUCUAGCUUCCUAGCUAUUUCCCAUCAAACCAUCUAAUCCAUCUUUCUUUUCCCAGUGCAGAAAAUUAACAGAAGCAUAUAUCAAAUGAUGUUGCUUCUAAGCAGGGCUGUAGCCAGAAAAAAAUUUCAGGAGGAGUUUUGAAAUUUUUUGGGGGGGGGGGGGGGUUUGAACCCCCUGACCCACCCGCCCCCCGGGUUCAGACCUGUCAGAAUCUGCUUGAGAUAGUGCCUGGAG